AAACCAUGCACCGAAGCUGCGGCAGCGACACUGUGUGUUGUUGGGUAGGGGAGCGUUCUGUAAGCCUGUGAAGGUGUGUCGUGAGGCAUGCUGGAGGUAUCAGAAGUGCGAAUGCUGACAUAAGUAACGAUAAAGCGGGUGAAAAGCCCGCUCGCCGGAAGACCAAGGGUUCCUGUCCAACGUUAAUCGGGGCAGGGUGAGUCGACCCCUAAGGCGAGGCCGAAAGGCGUAGUCGAUGGGAAACGGGUUAAUAUUCCCGUACUUGGUGUUACUGCGAAGGGGGGACGGAGAAGGCUAUGUUGGCCGGGCGACGGUUGUCCCGGUUUAAGCGUGUAGGUGUGUGUUCCAGGUAAAUCCGGUUCACUUUAACACUGAGGCGUGACGACGAGGCACUACGGUGCUGAAGCAACAAAUGCCCUGCUUCCAGGAAAAGCCUCUAAGCAUCAGGUAACAUCAAAUCGUACCCCAAACCGACACAGGUGGUCAGGUAGAGAAUACCAAGGCGCUUGAGAGAACUCGGGUGAAGGAACUAGGCAAAAUGGUGCCGUAACUUCGGGAGAAGGCACGCUGACACGUAGGUGAAGUGAUUUACUCAUGGAGCUGAAGUCAGUCGAAGAUACCAGCUGGCUGCAACUGUUUAUUAAAAACACAGCACUGUGCAAACACGAAAGUGGACGUAUACGGUGUGACGCCUGCCCGGUGCCGGAAGGUUAAUUGAUGGGGUCAGCGCAAGCGAAGCUCCUGAUCGAAGCCCCGGUAAACGGCGGCCGUAACUAUAACGGUCCUAAGGUAGCGAAAUUCCUUGUCGGGUAAGUUCCGACCUGCACGAAUGGCGUAAUGAUGGCCAGGCUGUCUCCACCCGAGACUCAGUGAAAUUGAACUCGCUGUGAAGAUGCAGUGUACCCGCGGCAAGACGGAAAGACCCCGUGAACCUUUACUAUAGCUUGACACUGAACAUUGAGCCUUGAUGUGUAGGAUAGGUGGGAGGCUUUGAAGUGUGGACGCCAGUCUGCAUGGAGCCGACCUUGAAAUACCACCCUUUAAUGUUUGAUGUUCUAACGUGGACCCGUUACCCGGGUUGCGGACAGUGUCUGGUGGGUAGUUUGACUGGGGCGGUCUCCUCCUAAAGAGUAACGGAGGAGCACGAAGGUUGGCUAAUCCUGGUCGGACAUCAGGAGGUUAGUGCAAUGGCAUAAGCCAGCUUGACUGCGAGCGUGACGGCGCGAGCAGGUGCGAAAGCAGGUCAUAGUGAUCCGGUGGUUCUGAAUGGAAGGGCCAUCGCUCAACGGAUAAAAGGUACUCCGGGGAUAACAGGCUGAUACCGCCCAAGAGUUCAUAUCGACGGCGGUGUUUGGCACCUCGAUGUCGGCUCAUCACAUCCUGGGGCUGAAGUAGGUCCCAAGGGUAUGGCUGUUCGCCAUUUAAAGUGGUACGCGAGCUGGGUUUAGAACGUCGUGAGACAGUUCGGUCCCUAUCUGCCGUGGGCGCUGGAGAACUGAGGGGGGCUGCUCCUAGUACGAGAGGACCGGAGUGGACGCAUCACUGGUGUUCGGGUUGUCAUGCCAAUGGCACUGCCCGGUAGCUAAAUGCGGAAGAGAUAAGUGCUGAAAGCAUCUAAGCACGAAACUUGCCCCGAG
rnacentral:rRNA from 1 species